rnacentral:rRNA from 1 species
CAUGGCUCAGGACGAACGCUGGCGGCGUGCUUAACACAUGCAAGUCGAACGAUGACGGAGAGCUUGCUCUUCUGAUUAGUGGCGAACGGGUGAGUAACACGUGAGCAAUCUGCCCUUGACUCUGGGAUAAGCGUUGGAAACGACGUCUAAUACCGGAUACGACCUUGGAAGGCAUCUUCUGGGGUGGAAAGAAUUUUGGUCAGGGAUGAGCUCGCGGCCUAUCAGCUAGUUGGUGAGGUAAUGGCUCACCAAGGCGACGACGGGUAGCCGGCCUGAGAGGGUGACCGGCCACACUGGGACUGAGACACGGCCCAGACUCCUACGGGAGGCAGCAGUGGGGAAUAUUGCACAAUGGGCGAAAGCCUGAUGCAGCAACGCCGCGUGAGGGACGACGGCCUUCGGGUUGUAAACCUCUUUUAGUAGGGAAGAAGGGAGCUUGCUCUUGACGGUACCUGCAGAAAAAGCACCGGCUAACUACGUGCCAGCAGCCGCGGUAAUACGUAGGGUGCAAGCGUUGUCCGGAAUUAUUGGGCGUAAAGAGCUCGUAGGCGGUUUGUCGCGUCUGCUGUGAAAACCCGAGGCUCAACCUCGGGCCUGCAGUGGGUACGGGCAGACUAGAGUGCGGUAGGGGAGAUUGGAAUUCCUGGUGUAGCGGUGGAAUGCGCAGAUAUCAGGAGGAACACCAAUGGCGAAGGCAGAUCUCUGGGCCGUAACUGACGCUGAGGAGCGAAAGCAUGGGGAGCGAACAGGAUUAGAUACCCUGGUAGUCCAUGCCGUAAACGUUGGGAACUAGAUG